AAUCAACGCUGGCGGCGUGCCUAACACAUGCAAGUCGAACGCGAAAGGGGAGCAAUCCCUGAGUAGAGUGGCAAACGGGUGAGUAACACGUGGGUGACCUGCCUUCGAGUGGGGGAUAACGUUCCGAAAGGAACGCUAAUACCGCAUGACAUCCUGCUUUUGGAGAAGCGGAGAUCAAAGCUGGGGAUUCGCAAGAACCUAGCGCUUGAAGAGGGGCCCGCGCCUGAUUAGCUAGUUGGUGGGGUAACGGCUCACCAAGGCUUCGAUCAGUAUCCGGCCUGAGAGGGCGGACGGACACACUGGGACUGAGACACGGCCCAGACUCCUACGGGAGGCAGCAGUGGGGAAUUGUUCGCAAUGGGCGCAAGCCUGACGACGCAACGCCGCGUGGAGGAUGAAGAUUUUCGGAUCGUAAACUCCUGUCGAGUGGGAAGAAUAGCUUCCGGGCGAAUAUCCCGGAAGUCUGACGGUACCACUAAAGGAAGCCCCGGCUAACUCCGUGCCAGCAGCCGCGGUAAUAC
rnacentral:rRNA from 1 species